rnacentral:rRNA from 1 species
GAUGAACGCUGGCGGCGUGCUUAACACAUGCAAGUCGAACGGAAAGGCCUCAGCUUGCUGGGGUACUCGAGUGGCGAACGGGUGAGUAACACGUGGGUGAUCUGCCCUGCACUUUGGGAUAAGCUUGGGAAACUGGGUCUAAUACCGAAUAUGACCACUUCUUGGAUGUUGUGGUGGAAAGCUUUUGCGGUGUGGGAUGAGCCUGCGGCCUAUCAGCUUGUUGGUGGGGUAAUGGCCUACCAAGGCGGCGACGGGUAUCCGGCCUGAGAGGGUGUACGGACACAUUGGGACUGAGAUACGGCCCAGACUCCUACGGGAGGCAGCAGUGGGGAAUAUUGCACAAUGGGCGCAAGCCUGAUGCAGCGACGCCGCGUGGGGGAUGAAGGCCUUCGGGUUGUAAACUCCUUUCGCUAUCGACGAAGCCACUUGUGGUGACGGUAGGUAGAUAAGAAGCACCGGCUAACUACGUGCCAGCAGCCGCCGCCG